rnacentral:rRNA from 1 species
AGAAUCAACGCUGGCGGCGUGCCUAACACAUGCAAGUCGCACGAGAAAGGGGAGCAAUCCCUGAGUAAAGUGGCGCACGGGUGAGUAACACGUGAAUCAUCUACCUCCGAGUGGGGAAUAACCUAGAGAAAUCUGGGCUAAUACCGCAUAACACUUACGAGUCAAAGCAGCAAUGCGCUUGGAGAGGAGUUCGCGGCCGAUUAGCUAGUUGGCGGGGUAAUGGCCCACCAAGGCGAUGAUCGGUAUCCGGCCUGAGAGGGCGCACGGACACACUGGAACUGAAACACGGUCCAGACUCCUACGGGAGGCAGCAGUGGGGAAUUUUGCGCAAUGGGGGAAACCCUGACGCAGCAACGCCGCGUGGAGGAUGAAGUAUCUUGGUACGUAAACUCCUUUCGAUGGGGAAGAUAAUGACGGUACCCAUAGAAGAAGCCCCGGCUAACUUCGCGCCAGCAGCCGC